rnacentral:rRNA from 1 species
CCCGCACAAGCGGUGGAGCAUGUGGUUUAAUUCGACGCAACGCGAAGAACCUUACCUGGGCUUGACAUCUGCGGAAUUUCUAUGAAAGUAGGAAGUGCCCUUCGGGGAGCCGCAAGACAGGUGCUGCAUGGCUGUCGUCAGCUCGUGUCGUGAGAUGUUGGGUUAAGUCCCGCAACGAGCGCAACCCUUAUCUUUAAUUGCCAGCAUUCAGUUGGGCACUUUAAAGAGACUGCCGGUGUUAAACCGGAGGAAGGUGGGGAUGACGUCAAGUCCUCAUGGCCUUUAUGCUUAGGGCUACACACGUGCUACAAUGGGUGGUACAAAGAGAAGCCAACUCGCGAGAGCGCGCCAAUCUCAAAAAGCCAUCCUCAGUUCGGAUUGGAGUCUGCAACUCGACUCCACGAAGUUGGAAUCGCUAGUAAUCGCGGAUCAGCAUGCCCGCGGUCGAAUACGUUCCGGCCUU